ACGUAAAUCGGACAGAAGAAAGUGGAGAGAGAGAGAGAGAGCGCGAGCGAGCUAACAUUUUGGGGUUUCUCGUCCACAGAGUUCGAACCCUAACAUUUUUAGGGUUUUUGAUCUUUCUCUGUUCUCUGUUUCGCCUCAGACUCGCGACCUUCUGUCUCUAACCGUAUCAUCACCGACCAGCGUCAAACGUACGAUCAUUCGAGUCCCUCGGUGACACCGUUGAUUCACGAUGUCCGCUACCUACGGCACUCCGCGCUUAUUUGCUGCCGCUUGGUGCUUAGCGUCGGUUUCUUCAAAUCGAGUAGGAUUCCUCACAAGUUGGAAGUUGAUAUGUAACUUUUAGGCAACAAAUUAAUGGAGAAAAAAUAUUUAAAUUUAUGUUUUUAUGUAUAAUUUGUAAUUUGGUUUGUUAUAUUUUGAAUGGUGGAAAUGGUUAGCGUCUUCGUUUUUGUUUUAAGAUAUUUUUUUUUUCGUCAAUUAGGUGUUUUGGUAUU